rnacentral:misc_RNA from 1 species
CGACAUCAAUCACUUGGAUGCUGAUGUUCUUUUGCCUCCUCGGAAGCGCCUGCUUGCAGGAUUCAAGAAACAGAAUUCUGAUGGUGAUGCUGCCUUGGCCCCUCCUGCAGUUGCUUCAUCCUCAUCCUCAGCAUCGCCUUCUUCUCCUCCUCCCCCUACUCCAUCUCCUUCAUCCCCAUCUCCGCCUUCGCCAACUCCUUGUUCUCCAUCUUCAAGUGAAUUUCAAGCCCGCCUCAACAAUCUUUUGACUUCUCAUUUUAAUAAUA